rnacentral:rRNA from 1 species
UACGUAGGGGGCUAGCGUUGUCCGGAAUCAUUGGGCGUAAAGCGCGUGUAGGCGGCUCGGUAAGUCCGCUGUGAAAGUCGGGGGCUCAACCCUCGGAUGCCGGUGGAUACUGUCGGGCUAGAGUACGGAAGAGGCGAGUGGAAUUCCUGGUGUAGCGGUGAAAUGCGCAGAUAUCAGGAGGAACACCAAUAGCGAAGGCAGCUCGCUGGGACGGUACUGACGCUAAGGCGCGAAAGCGUGGGGAGCGAACAGG